rnacentral:rRNA from 1 species
GACGAACGCUGGCGGUGUGCUUAACACAUGCAAGUGGUGCGACGAACCAGAGCUUGCUCUGGGGCAAAGCCGCGAACGGGUGAGUAACACGUGGGUAAUCUACCCCGAUGACCGGGACAACCCGAGGAAACUCGGGCUAAUACCGGAUGUGGUGCGGAGACAUAAGUCUCUUCACUAAAGGUAGCUUCGGCUUCCGCAUUGGGAGGGGCCCGCGGCCCAUUAGCUUGUUGGUGGGGUCAAGGCCUACCAAGGCAACGAUGGGUAGCUGGUCUGAGAGGACGAUCAGCCACACUGGGACUGAGACACGGCCCAGACUCCUACGGGAGGCAGCAGUGGGGAAUCUUGCGCAAUGCGCGAAAGCGUGACGCAGCAACACCGCGUGAGGGAAGAAGGCCUUAGGGUUGUAAACCUCUUUCAGAUGGGACGAAGGUUCUCCGGUGAAUAGCCGAGAGGAUUGACGGUACCGACAGAAGAAGCUCCGGCUAACUACGUG